UUUGAUGAAAUUUUAUUUUAGGUAAAAAUGUCAGGCUCCGGAUCUGAAACAGAGACGGACCAGGGUUAUGAACUCUUUGACCCCAACGCGAAGAAGGAGGCAAGAGCCGGACUAGGCUUUAUGCAAUUUGGCGCUGUCGCUGGACUAGCAGGACUGGGUUAUAUGGCGAGGAAUUUUAAAAAUAAGAACAAGGAUAUGAAGAUCUCAGUUUACGUCAUUCACACUAGAAUGUUAGCACAGGGAACUGUUAUAGGAGUUCUUUGUUUGGGAAUGUUCAGUCAGAUGUACAAGAGAUAUCAAGAUAAACAAACUGACGGAACCUAGUCGAGUAGCAAAUGUGUAAACGGAACGUUAUCAGAACUUAAUUGAGUAGCAGGUGAAGCUGAUUUUUGGACACGAUCUUCAUCUGUUGAUUAGUAGAAACCUGAAUAUUAUUAAAGACGAGAACAAACAUUAUUAUGAAAUAAAAAUUAAUUAGAUAAA